UGUGUUGUGGCCACGCCCCUUCUCUCCGCGAUGUUGACGCAAUGUAUAAAUAGUGGAACAAAGACAACUUCCUAGAAGCUUUGCCUGGUGUGCACGGCGGCCGGCGGCGAGCUGCGUCUGCUGCCCGGAGAGAGGACAGACUGGGGCACUGGAUGUUACCAUUGGACAGCCCGCAGCCGGCUCCCUAUCAUUGGGCUUCCCCCCACUCGCAAGCCCAUUGGACGAGGCGCUGCUACUGGGGACAUGACGUCACCUGCCCGGCGCUUCUCAAUGAAUUGUCUUGUAUUGAUGGGUUCUAGUGGGAUGAGGUCUGCACUGCAGGCUCCUCCAGCAUGAAAUGGUUGACUACAGAGAACAAUCGACUGCAUUCAACAGAACAGACUGCUGAUAAUACGGCUUUUGGGUUCAGUGUCCUGUGCACAUUGACGAGGAUGAAUUAUAUUUUUCAUGAUGGCAUUACAGAAUGAAAAGACCCCUUUUGG